rnacentral:rRNA from 1 species
CCCUUAGAUGUUCGGGGCCGCAUGCGCGCUACACUGGUCGGAGCAGCCGGAUUCUGCGUCCUCGGUCGAAAGGCCCGGGAAAUCCGCGAACCCCGACCGUGCUUGGGAUAGGGAAUUGCAAUUGUUUCCCUCGAACGAGGAAUUCCUAGUAAGCGCGAGUCAUCAGCUCGCGUUGAUUACGUCCCUGCCCUUUGUACACACCGCCCGUCGCUACUACCGAUUGAGCGUUUUAGUGAGGUCCUCGUAUUGGAGCGCGCCGACGUCGUGAGGCGCCGGCGCGAGCCGAGAAGAUGAUCGAACUUGAUCGCUUAGAGGAAGUAAAAGUCGUAACA